UACGUAGGGUGCAAGCGUUAAUCGGAAUUACUGGGCGUAAAGCGUGCGCAGGCGGCUUUGUAAGACAGAUGUGAAAUCCCCGGGCUCAACCUGGGAACUGCAUUUGUGACUGCAAGGCUAGAGUACGGCAGAGGGGGAUGGAAUUCCGCGUGUAGCAGUGAAAUGCGUAGAUAUGCGGAGGAACACCAAUGGCGAAGGCAAUCCCCUGGGCCUGUACUGACGCUCAUGCACGAAAGCGUGGGGAGCAAACAGG
rnacentral:rRNA from 1 species